rnacentral:lncRNA from 1 species
UGGAAUCAUUGGCAAAGACCCCCACACAUCCCUCUAUGCACAAGUCUUGGCACCUCCUGCCCCACGCCACUAAAUUUUGGUCGGGAACAUAUAUCCAAACGUGCGCUCUCUCUCUCUCUCUCUAUAUAUAUAUAUAUAUAUAUAUAUAUCACAUACAUAUACAUUCUGGACUAUAUGUAUGUAUCGUCGCAUGCAUGCACAUACAUAACAUAUCUAUGUGUGGAUGCUAAUAUGUGUAUAUAUAGCCAUCACGAGUUACAACCUUCCUUGCAUAUGCUUUGGCACAUGAUAUCCAAUCAAAUUCUAACUGAUUGAUGUACUGUUUAUACCAUGCCAAUUCUACUUUACCAUGAUAGAACCAACCAUUUUGGCGCCCUUCGAAAAUUGACAAAACAUAUACGUUGCCGGUUAAACCACAUGUAAAUAUCAUAUUAUUAACAUAAUCAUCACUAUAUUUUGCUUGGGAUAUCUGCACUUUUCCCCAUGGCUGCAACUCCUGUAUUCUUAACUUCGAUGGCCCCUAAUGAUCUUCAUCAUGAUCAACUUCAAUUCUCCGGCGACUCUCACUUUGCUCUUCACGGUGAGAUCAUGAUGCUUAUUCUUGUCUUGCUUUUUGUUAUCUUUCUCCUCUUCCUCUUCUUCCUUCUCUACACAAAACGCUUUCGAACUCAACCUAAAGAUGACUUGUCGACCUCCCAGCCCGAUUUACCAACCAAUCUUCCGAUGAUUCAGUUCAAUGGCGGGUGCAAGUGAGUACAAGACCUAUAACCCUUCAACAAAUAUAGAUAGAGCAUCAAUUAUAGCCUUGCUCAUAUACAUAUAUUUAUAUGUAUGUGUUUUUACAAUAUUAUUUAUAUAUCUGCCAUGAUUAAUUGGCUCAGUCCGUAUUGAAAGCUUAAUUUGUAAUUAAGUUAAGGUUAUAAUUAGUUAUCUCCCAUGAAUUAUGAUUCUUUCUAGCUAAAAGAGUAGACAAUUUUCAGUUAAUUAAUGGAGAAAAUGCAUAUGUAUGUAUACAAGACAAGAAAUUAAGAAAGAUUAAUUAAUUAAUUAAUUAAUUAAUCAAAUUAAUUAUUUGUGUUUUUAGAGUUCCGUGUGUGAUUGGGUAACUUACCACCACAAAAUUUGAUGAUGUAUACAAGAUGUUAGGUUGGUGGUACAACUUGUCAAUUGUAAGACAGACAGCCACCAUUUUCAUAUUUAGAUAUGAAGGUACGCUGAGGUGGCACCAAGUGAUUGGGUGGACGUACCAGAUAUUUUCUCUUUUCUCUCUCUAUUAUUGCUCAAGAACUGGACAUACAUACGUAUAUGUAUGUAUGUAUCUACGUACCAACAUGCCAAGGGACUUCCCUCCCACCCAAGAGGAUGGAUAUUUCUAUUAAUUCUCUACUUCUGUAUUGGGUUAAACCUUAAAAUGUAUUUAAAGUAUUAACUUCAAUCUUAUGUAGUUUGUAAGAUAAUAAACACAUACUACCUAUUAGAUUUUAUGCUAAGAAUGUACAAAAUAAACUUUUUCUAUUAGUUAACUUAUUUGUUUAAUUAUCAUCUUAAGACUUAUAUAUGUAAUGGUGUAAAUCAUUACUUAGUUAUAUUACACUGACAAAUGGCCUCUUAGCUCAGUUGGUUAGAGUAUUGUGCUAAUAACGCAAAUGUUAUUAUUAUUAUUAUUUUUUUUUACAUAAUUUAAUAGCAAAAUUAUAAAUGAUUCCAC